GACGAACGCUGGCGGCGUGCCUAAUACAUGCAAGUAGAACGCUGAAGAGAGGAGCUUGCUCUUCUUGGAUGAGUUGCGAACGGGUGAGUAACGCGUAGGUAACCUGCCUUGUAGCGGGGGAUAACUAUUGGAAACGAUAGCUAAUACCGCAUAACAAUGGAUGACACAUGUCAUUUAUUUGAAAGGGGCAAUUGCUCCACUACAAGAUGGACCUGCGUUGUAUUAGCUAGUAGGUGAGGUAAUGGCUCACCUAGGCGACGAUACAUAGCCGACCUGAGAGGGUGAUCGGCCACACUGGGACUGAGACACGGCCCAGACUCCUACGGGAGGCAGCAGUAGGGAAUCUUCGGCAAUGGGGGCAACCCUGACCGAGCAACGCCGCGGGAGUGAAGAAGGUUUUCGGAUCGUAAAGCUCGGUUGUAAGUCAGGAACGGGUGUGAGAGUGGAAAGUUCACACUGUGACGGUAGCUUACCAGAAAGGGACGGCUAACUACGUG
rnacentral:rRNA from 1 species